ACAAGCGCCGGCCCCGCGGCCCAAUCCCAGGGGGCGCCGCCACCGGUCCUCCCCUCCCGCGCGCGCUCGGCGACGCGGGCAGCAGCAGACGCGGCCAGCAGCACAAGCGCCGGGCAGCCGUGGCCUCGGCCAGAUCCAGAGGAUUCUGCUGGGUAGUGUGACGAACUACGUGCUCCCGCCAUGAACUGAGCAGAUCGUCAUGGAUUUACCCAAGAAACUCAACCUUUCAUGAAUUCCUACAGGGUAUGUCUUCAAUCGACCAGUCAUUUGCAUUUUAUGAUUUAGGUUUAGGGAUGAAUGGUUAUGGGUUAAUUUAAUUGUUUGUUUAAUUUGCAUUUACGAAUGCGUAGGAUGGAUCGUAGCUCGGCUUGUCGAGUUGUGAUUCAGGUUCCUGCGUAUGUGGAGCAACCUGUUGAAGAGUACCAUGUCACUAGCAAAAACAACAUUAUUGUAGACAAGGACACUACAAAUUGGAUUGAUUUCUCGGCUAAGCUAGAUGCAAUGGUCAAGCAUGAAAAACACCCCAACAUCAAGUACCUUCACUGGACCAUCAAGAAAUGGGCUUGACAACUAACUCUGGAAGUCCUCUUACAAGGGCGAGGAAGGCACUCCUACUAGUCACAAACCAUCAAGAAAUGGGCUUGACAACUAGCCCUGGAUCUCCUCUAACUAGGGCGAAGAAGGCACUGCUGUUGGGCAAACAAAAUUGAAGUGCAUGUGCUGUUUACUUUUUCCUUUUGAUUAUGGCUCAACUUGUAUGGCUUAUCAUGUAUGGCUUUAGAACCUUAUUAUGGCUGCUAGCAUGUAUGGACUUUUAGCCUUGCAAUGCCUCCUAAAUGUAUCAAUAUUAGCCCUUUAAUGGCUCUGAACAUGUAUGAAUUAUGAAACUAUGAAUGGCUAUCAACGUCUAAGAUUUGUAACUUUUGUGAAAUA